GCCUUCAUGGCGCAGUGGUAACGCGUCGCACUUGUAUCUUCAAGAGUGUACAACCACUCUUCGCAAUGCGAAGAUCCCUAGUUCAAUUCUGGGUGAAGGCA